rnacentral:lncRNA from 1 species
CUGAAGUCCCGAUUUCCCCACAGCGACCAAACCUCUCGUAGUAGACGCCGAGAUCAAUCGCCUCAUGGCGGCCGGCCACCACAGCCAGAGAUGACAGAAUCUGAUUGGAUGGAGAUUGAGAGAACCUGCUUGCCCUCCCCUCUCCCGAGUUCAGGAUGCAACAUGGAGUAAAAACUCUGCGCCCCCUGAUCUCCCGAGACUAAUCGCCUUUGCCCUUCUCAGUUUCCCAAAACUCUGCGCCACCUGCAGAUCGUGAGUUCACUUGGACACAUGGGAGUUUUAGAUAACACAACAAAAAUGAAUUCAGUCUUAGCAUACAUCGUACAUGUGUGCUUGUUGUCUAAUAUUUUAAAAUCAUGUGACUGUGCAGGUAGAGGAUCAGCUGGUAGCUUGCAGCCUCAGAUGAAAGAGGGAGAAUUUAGUACGCCCAUGCAUAAAGAAACUAAGCAUUCCUCUAUUUGUAAGUUUAAUAGUCCUUCACUGCCAUUGUGAUAUUCAUUUUAACAGAAUUAUGCAUAAAUGUGUUUACCAUGAUUGAUUAUUUAUGUUUCAAUGUUCGUCUUUUACACUCAAUUGAAGGGCUGGAGGCUGUGGAGGAGUUCAACAAGUCUUAUGAUGGCUGAAGAUCAUGUGGGUUUUGGAGUAUGUAUCAGACAACAGAAGAAGUUGGGCAAUGCGGUAGUUCGUACAAAGCGCUUCAUGUGCAAUAGGGAAGGAUUCAAAGCCGAAACAGGUGAAGAGACUGAAGACCCUUAAAGAGAAGGCAUAAGAAUACAACCACAGAGACAUGCAGCAGAAUGGUGUUUUAUGACUUCAUACACCUAUGAUUUAUUAGUACCAUUUCAGUUUCAGGGAUUAAUACCAGAAAAAUUUAUGUACUGACUUUUUGUAAUAAGUGAGAACUUGUGAUUUUGUCAAAUUGAUUUCAUAUUUUUGUCUGUUAGUUGACGCAUAUGGAAUGGAAAGAAACAGACCAUGAUGCUUCUUCAUGGUCAGAAAUAUAGCA